GGAAUUUAGCUCAGUGGUAGAGCGCUUGACUAACAAGCGCAAGGUCCUGGGUUCGAUCCCCAGCUCCA
rnacentral:tRNA from 1 species